GUAGGGAAUAUUGGACAAUGGGGGGAACCCUGAUCCAGCCAUGCCGCGUGGAGGAAGACUGCCCUCUGGGUUGUAAACUCCUUUUAUAUGGGAAGAACCGUCCUCAUUAAUGAGUGACCUGACGGUACCAUAGGAAUAAGCACCGGCUAACUCCGUGCCAGCAGCCGCGGUAAUACGGAGGGUGCAAGCGUUAUCCGGAUUCACUGGGUUUAAAGGGUGCGUAGGCGGAUAAAUAAGUCAGUGGUGAAAUCAACGGGCUCAACCUGUUAACUGCCAUUGAUACUGUGUAUCUUGAAUAUGAGAGAGGUAGGCGGAAUGUUGCAUGUAGCGGUGAAAUGCUUAGAUAUGCUACGGAACACCGAUUGCGAAGGCAGCUUACUAUUUCAUGAUUGACGCUGAGGCACGAAAGCGUGGGUAGCGAACAGGAUUAGAAACCCGGGUAGUCC
rnacentral:rRNA from 1 species